AUACGUAGGGGGCGAGCGUUGUCCGGAAUUAUUGGGCGUAAAGGGUUCGCAGGCGGUCUGAUAAGUCAGAUGUGAAAGGCAAUGGCUCAACCAUUGUAAGCAUUUGAAACUGUCAGACUUGAGUUAAGGAGAGGAAAGUGGAAUUCCUAGUGUAGCGGUGAAAUGCGUAGAUAUUAGGAGGAAUACCAGUGGCGAAGGCGAUUUUCUGGACUUAUACUGACGCUGAGGAACGAAAGCGUGGGGAGCAAACAGGAUUAGAUACCCUGGUAGUCCACGCCGUAAACGAUGAGUGCUAGGUGUUGGGGGUCAAACCCCGGUGCCGCAGCUAACGCAUUAAGCACUCCGCCUGGGGAGUACGUACGCAAGUAUGAAACUCAAAUGAAUUGACGGGG
rnacentral:rRNA from 1 species